AGAGUUUGAUCCUGGCUCAGAUUGAACGCUGGCGGUAUGCCUAACACAUGCAAGUCGAACGAGGUAGCAAUACCUAGUGGCGGACGGGUGAGGAAUACGUAGGGAUCUGCCUUUAAGUGGGGGAUAACCCGGGGAAACCCGGAUUAAUACCGCAUGAUCUCGCAAGAGCAAAGUGGGGGAUCGCAAGACCUCACGCUUUUAGAGGAACCUACGUCGGAUUAGCUUGUUGGUGAGGUAACGGCUCACCAAGGCGACGGUCCGUAACUGGUCUGAGAGGAUGAUCAGUCACACCGGAACUGAGACACGG
rnacentral:rRNA from 1 species